CGGUGAUAUCGCUGAGGGUGCAGGAGAGCAGGGGCUCUGCAAACAGAGAGGGCUUUGACAGCAGUCUGCAGGACGGGACAAGAGAGUCAGUGCCUGGUGAGAAAUGGAUAUAAUGUGAUUCUGGAGAAAUCUUAAAACUAGACAGCAUUACAGGAAACUACUGUCCUUGGAACAGUAUGCUGCUCUGUGAAAACCCCAAACAUUGUGCUGUUGAGAUACAUUAAUCCAUCAAAUAUUUACUGAGCAACCUACAUGUCAGCUGACCCUAUGACGCAAGGCGCCGUGGCCUGGCCCGGGCCAUCAGGGUUAUCUUUAUCAACAUCAGUGAUUUAGAGAGAAUGAUAGAUACAGAAGAUGUGGAAGACAAAUGCUGGACAUAUACUGAUCAAGGCAAACAUCCUAAGAACUAACAGAAGAAGCUAGUGGGAUGGAGGGUAUCUGCAUUAUUUGAACAUUUAUUUUAAGCAGUGAGGAAGUCCAGACAAAGGAAGGCAGACAGAGAGACAACUGGAAAGAGAGAGGUGGGGAAGAGCUGCGAAAAAGGAAGGGUUGGCAGAACAGAAUCUGGAACCAGAGGGCAUCUGAAAGAGAGGAGUAACAUCUGAUGCUGGUGAUCUCUAUGGAGUCCAUUGGAGUGUCCUUCAGACAGGCCACAGCCCGGGGCACUCUCUUGACUCAAGACCAUCUCCUGGGUUUCUUUUGUCCCAGGGCUCAGCCCCACUGGCCUGGGUCCUGAGCUAUCUUCUCCAUGUGCCCACUUGGUCUGCAGGAAGUCUCUUGAAUGUUCCAUGCCACCAAACUACUGAGUACAGCUUAAGCAGCAGCCAGCUCCUCAAUCCUUUCCUCACUGGCAAGGAAGCACACCAGCUUGGUUCCUGCCUGGCAAGAGGGCAGAGAUACUCCAAUUCACAUAUAUUUUAGGAAGAGAGUUUCCCUCAUGAAGAAAUUCCACUGGACCCUUCUGAUGAGAUUUGCUGACUGGAAACAACAGGAAUGUGUCUAAGUAUCAAAAUGAAGUAGAGGCUGAAACAUCUGUUCAGUAUGUGGAUACUGUACAGAUCGGUUUGGAAACAACCAAGAAGUCUCCCUCACUCAAAUGCCAGCUGGGAAUUAAAGAACUCUGCUUAAAUUGCUAAAAAUUCUCCCAGGUAAGGUUUUUUUGCCACAUUUUUUUUUAUGUUCCUUGAACACUCAAAGAUUGUUCAGACCUGAGACCUUGACCUCUGUCUGGAACCCUUUCCUCCAUUUCAUUACAGCCCUUAGCAAGAUAUCUCAGAACAUCC